ensembl:lncRNA
GGUAAAUUUAGAGCCCGAAUAAACAAAAGGUUUUCCUACAAUAAUCCAAAAUAAAUAAACUACACUAGUAAAUGAAGUAGUUUUGCAAUGGUAGUCUUUAAUUCUAAAACACUGUGCAUAAUUUUUAAAGUCCACUUUUUCAUUCAUUCAGUCAAUUUAUUCAUGGGUGUUUAACAGUAAAUUGCUGUUAUUGCCGGUUGAUGAUAAAUCCGCCCGAGCUCAUGUUGAUUACCAUAAAGAUUUAACUAAAACGUACCUGCUCUGAACCAUUAUUAAGUUGAGGAGAUGAGAUGACAUUUGCUAUUUACACUUUGAUAUCAUCCAAUUUAUACCACGUUGUCACAUGUGAGGUGCUAAUGUUGUAAAAUGUGAAAUGCAGUGCAUUGAUCGAGUUUCCCACAAAGCACCAACGACUGCUUUGAUAUUCAAGUGUUCAGCGUCGUACACUCACUGACAGAUUGAGCCGGCGGUUUUGAUUUACUGAGGGACAGUUUAAGGUGUGCGGUGUGACAUGUGUAAUGAUCAGAGUCAGAGUUCAUCUACUACAUGCUAAUUUUAAGAUAUCAAUGUCUCAUACAGCAACAAGGGUGCAUGGCAAGAAACAACAACACAUUUCAAGAAAAUUGAUCUUUAUUUUCAAGUUAUAAUAAACUUUUUGGCCAUCACAAGAAACAACUAGGUUUGUUUGACAGUAAUACUAUUGUGUCACUGAGAUUUGCAGAGAAGAAACAAAUGUUCUUUUUAACAGGAAACAAUAAGUGAGCCCUGCCCUCUCACUUCCUGGAACAGGCUAAAUUAUUGAUAGCAUUUCAGCGUCUGCCAGCCACUGUACACCCACUGAGAUGCGCGAUGGUCACAAUCACAGUAACAGUGAAAAAUAUAUUAUUAUAAUUACAAGGACAUUUUAUUCAUUCAUCCAUCACCAAUAACACAGAGCUGAGGAUUAAUAUAUUAUCUGGUGAAAAACAAAAUAAUUGAAAAGAGAAGGUAAUUAAAAUGAGUUCAACCUUCACAAAACAAAAGCAAUUAUGUAUUUUUGUGAAUGUAAUGAAAAGAAAAUGUUUGCACCAGCAUUUAAUUAUUUCAGUGUGUUUGCAAUAUUCCUGCUAAAACGAUUAGUAGCACCAUGCUGUCAAGUGCAUGGAUGAGUUUAUGUGGCUGUGUGUGCAACAUGCUUUUGUUGGGGGUUUGCAAUGACACAGGAAGGAGUUAUUUCAACUGCAUUGCCCGAGCCUCUUGGCAGAGAUGACUUCCUGUCCUGAGGGGUGGCUGAUAGCGGGACACCUGCCAGGAGUUGGCAGGCGUAGAAACCGGCAUCCACGUUCUGUCACCACUCUGCGAGGUGCUCACUCAGGAGGGAAGUGGUUUGGGGCUGUGACAUACUUUAAAAGGGAGGACGCAGGACGUGACCAAGAGGCAAAAUGAAAUGAAAGAGGUGGAUGAGAUGAACCUUUUCCACCACCGAGCUGCUAUCUUUACAGGUGAGAAAACAAAUGAGCGAUUAAUAGGGUCUCCCUGGAGAGCGCCAACACAGCCGCAGCCAGGGCGGUUCCGGCCAGUCAAGACCAGUGCAGCUGCAGCAUUAUGCAGAAGUGGAACCCGUGACAGUCAGGCGACAUCUCUACAUUUUCCCAUCACGCCCCCUGCGAUGUACAACGCUGAGACACCACGACCACAAACUUCCUCUAUCUGUGACAGCAACCAAGAAGAGCGGCCAAACAACCAGGGACCAAGGCCCAACCUUUGGGCGGCUCUGCUUCCUGUGAUGAAAAUACCGGUGAAAAAAAACAAAAUCUGUGAGAAGGUCCAGCGAGUUUCUCCUUUUCAGCUGAAUGACGACAUUGAAAGAAAACACUGAAGCAACCUUCAGCCACUUUGAUGACCUUUUGAAAUGGAUCGUGGGGCUAACGUUUUCCAUCUUAUAAUGGUGAACAAACCAAAAGUGAAAUACAAAAUGAAUAUCCUGCACAUGAACAUUGACAACAUCUUUGUAAACAGCUCAGUGGUCCCUCAAUCCAAACAGGCCAAGCAUUUCCCACAAUUUCCCGAGCUUACAGUAACUGGAAGUGUGUGUGUGUGAUGCUUGACAAUGUGUUGUAUGUCACAUGACUUCCCAGCAGACAAUUAAACUGAAACGAAAGAG